UACGAAGGGGGCUAGCGUUGUUCGGAAUUACUGGGCGUGAAGCGCGCGCAGGCGGCUAUCCAAGUCAGUGGUGAAAGCCCGGAGCUCAACUCCGGAACUGCCAUUGAAACUGUUUAGCUUGAGGAUGAGAGAGGUGAGUGGAAUUCCCAGUGUAGAGGUGAAAUUCGUAGAUAUUGGGAAGAACACCGGUGGCGAAGGCGGCUCACUGGCUCAUUACUGACGCUCAGGCGCGAUAGCGUGGGGAUCAAACAGG
rnacentral:rRNA from 1 species